UCAGAGCCCUGCCUGUAGCAGCCCCCCUGCCCGCAGCCCGCAGGGCGCCCAGUAGCCAGGACUAAGGGGGGUCGGGUACCACCCCCCUCCCCGCGGCCGAGGCCGGCGCUCUGACACCUCUGGUUACAAGUGCAGUUUCUUCUAGCAAACCCAGUGUCGAGACGGCUAGCUCCAGAGCCAGAGCGCGGGCGUUCCACAUGCGCUGUACCCGUCGCUUGUUAUUGGGGACCCAGCCCUGCUGCAACACGGUGCCCUUGGCUGAGGCAGGGUCACCUGCAGGGACUCACCUCUCCUCCCGGGAUAGGAAGGCGGCGGAAGGGAGCGGACCCCGGUGAACAGGGUCGGCGUCACCCCAGGUCCACCGCGCAGCGGAUGUGGCCCAGCCAGCAGCCGAGCACCGCCCUGCCCAGGUUAUUCCAGCAUACUGAGCAGAGUUCCCUGUGCCGUCCGGUAGGUCCUUGUUGGUUCUCUAGUCCAUAUAGAGUGGUGUUUAUACGUGCAGCGGCACUGUUGAAGCGCUUGUGAAGAAGGGGGAACCAAGCCGGGAGAAGAUAAGCCUUGGGACAGAAAGCAGAGAGGCAGGAGCCUGCAGGAUCUUAGUUCCCUGACCAGGGCUUGAACCCGCGCCCUCGGCACUGAAAGCGCAGACUCCUAACCACUGGACCGCCAGAAGAGGCAGUGGAGGUGCCCCGGGAGACGCCGGGGUCGCAGGACGUGGAAAGAGAGCUCGUCUUGCACCGCUGGAUGUGGGGACCCAGGGAGGGGCCCGGGCGGCUUGGUCCCCUCGACUCCAUGAGCCCAGUGACCCAUGUUG